UACGAAGGGGGCUAGCGUUGCUCGGAAUCACUGGGCGUAAAGGGUGCGUAGGCGGGUCUUUAAGUCAGGGGUGAAAUCCUGGAGCUCAACUCCAGAACUGCCUUUGAUACUGGCAAUCUCGAGUCCGGGAGAGGUGAGUGGAACUGCGAGUGUAGAGGUGAAAUUCGUAGAUAUUCGCAAGAACAUCAGUGGCGAAGGCGGCUCACUGGCCCGGUACUGACGCUGAGGUGCGAAAGCGUGGGGAGCAAACAGG
rnacentral:rRNA from 1 species